GGGUAUCAUAGGUCAGUAGUAAGGGUAUCAUAGGUCAGUAGUAAGGGUAGCGUAGGCCAGUAGUAAGGGUAUCGUAGGCCAGUAGUAAGGGUAUCAUAGGUCAGUAGUAAGGGUAUCGUAGGUCAGUAGUAAGGGUAGCGUAGGCCAGUAGUAAGGGUAUCGUAGGUCAGUAGUAAGGGUAUCAUAGGUCAGUAGUAAGGGUAGCGUAGGCCAGUAGUAAGGGUAUCAUAGGUCAGUAGUAAGGGUAUCGUAGGUCAGUAGUAAG